GUCUACAGCCGUACCACCCUGAAUGUGCCCGAUCUCAUCUGAUCUCGGAAGCUCAGCAGGUUUGGGCCUGGUUAGUACUUGGAUGGGAGACCACCUGGGAAUACCGGGUGCUGUAGGCU
rnacentral:rRNA from 1 species